UCCGGUUUGGCACCGGCAGUCUUCCUAGAGUCCCCGCCAUUACGCGCUGGCAACUAAGAACAGGGGUUGCGCUCGUUGCGGGACUUAACCCAACAUCUCACGACAUUCCCGUGCAUGUCAAGCCUAGGUAAGGUUCUUCGCGUUGCGUCGAAUUAAACCACAUGCUCCACCGCUUGUGCGGGCCCCCGUCAAUUCCUUUGAGUUUCAACCUUGCGGUCGUACUCCCCAGGCGGGGUACUUCCUGCGUUAGCGCCGGCACCCAGAGGGUCGCUCCCCCAGGCACCUAGUACCCAUCGUUUACGGCGUGGACUAC
rnacentral:misc_RNA from 1 species